CUGCUGCCUCCCGUAGGAGUUUGGACCGUGUCUCAGUUCCAAUGUGGGGGACCUUCCUCUCAGAACCCCUACGCAUCGUCGGCUUGGUGGGCCGUUGCCCCACCAACUACCUAAUGCGCCGCAUGCCCAUCCGUGACCGGGGUCGCCCCCUUUGGCCGGCAGGGGAUGUCCCCUCCCGGCAUUAUGUUGUAUUAGGCGGGAUUUCUCCCGGUUAUCCAUCUGUCACGGCCAGGUUGCAUACGUGUUACUCACCCGUGCGCCGGUCGCCGGCGGACGG
rnacentral:rRNA from 1 species